AACGAACGCUGGCGGCAUGCCUAACACAUGCAAGUCGAACGAGACCUUCGGGUCUAGUGGCGCACGGGUGCGUAACGCGUGGGAACCUGCCCUUAGGUUCGGAAUAACUCCCCGAAAGGGGUGCUAAUACCGGAUAAUGUCUUCGGACCAAAGAUUUAUCGCCAUUGGAUGGGCCCGCGUUGGAUUAGCUAGUUGGUAGGGUAAAAGCCUACCAAGGCGACGAUCCAGAGCUGGUCUGAGAGGAGGACCUGCCACACUGGGGCUGCGACACGGCCCAGACUCCUACGGGAGGCAGCAGUAGGGAAUAUUGGGCAAUGGGCGAAAGCCUGAUACAGCAGUGCCGCGUGAGUGAUGCAGGCCUUAGUGUUGUAAAGCUCUUUGUCCCGAGGUGAUAGUGACGGUACCGGGAGAAGAAGCACCGGCUAACUCCGUG
rnacentral:rRNA from 1 species